AGAAAUGAAGACCAGAGGGGAAGACAGAGAUGAAGCUGAACUCUAUUCCCCUGCCUUUUUGAUUUGUUCCCUACAGUGCACACUCAAUAGGCCGUGGGAAUAAUGAAGAAAGAGGUCCCAGCUGCAGGUCAGAUAGUGAACUACCCACACAGCAAGUGGAUUUUAGCAUUUCAAUUCAAUCCAGUCAGUUGGCAAGCACAGAGACCAACCCAACUGACCAACCCCAUUUCUAUGUGUGCAGCCAACUUUCUUUUUUUGUCAAGUGGAGUUCAGCAGGACAGUGAGGCGGAGGGAUCCAUGAGGAACGUGCAAGAACAUCAGCCGGACCUUUAUUCAUGUUGCUUGGCCUGGUUCUUCCAUCUGACUCCACUAUUGCUGUGGUUGUCAAAACAUUUUCAGUUUUCAAGCCCCCAGUGCAGGUCCAACAUUUGUCCAGGGCCCCUCAGCUCAUGAAACGGAUAAACAUAAAGGAAUAUCUGUAGCCCUAGGGGUUCCAGCCACACAGCUUUGGAAACCACUGCUCUAUCAUAAGGGAACGGGGGAAAAGGGAGAGAGAAGUGUGCGUCUGGAUUUGAAACCACUAUUAUUAAACAGUAUUUGUAUGUAAUAUAUAUGUUUUCAUUAUUACUUAUCUUUCCUAUUCAUAGUCUCUUAUUGUGUUCUGUCAGUCAGCCUGGUUGUUAGGGUAAAUAGGACCCUAGCUACCAGAGAGCGGCUGAGAUUCCAAAAGAGGGGGCUUGUGCGCCCACUGGGCAUAUAGCUCUUUACUAUACUAUUGAUAGGCCACAGUUCAUUGCUUUGCAGUGUGUAUAUUUUGCUAGCCAAUACCUCACUACCACUGAUUUCAAGUGAGUCAUGUGAUCAUAGGGCAGCCGUUACUUCCUGUCAGAGUGGCAGCCAUUUUCUACCUUGUUCAAUUGUUCAAAAAGUUAAAUUGUUCGAAAAAAAUAAAAUAACCGAAGACCAACUUCAACUUGUCUCACCAUCAGGAUCCCAUUAAAUUAAACUGAAAGAUGAACGACCCCUUGAGCUGGAUCGGUGAAAGGGAAGCCAAUAAUAUUGCGCUACUUUUACACUUUGCUUUAACCUGUAUUAAAGAAAAAUGGGGGUCAAAUCAUUGUUCAGAAGUGAGAACACAAAUAAAUGAGACUUGUGGGUACAGUGAAUGCAUUUUGUUUAUUUGAGAAGGAAGAUCUCAACUGAGUGCCGAAACAAACACAGGCAUCUCAAUUGUGUACGACAAAUUUCCACCGUUGCUCUGAGCAGAAUAUACAAAAAUACACAUCUCCGUGACCUCCAUACAAUAAUAAAUAUGUCAUGAUGCAUCCAACAAUAAAAGGCACAGAAAACUGGUCACUUAGUAGUCAUAAAAAUUACUAAACGGCAUUAACAAAGCCACCCAAUGUCUGUACAGGGAAUUGUAACAUCAUAUUCCAAAAUUGAAAACACACAAAACUGUUUUUGUUUUAAAAUAGUAUGCAAUAAAUACCGUAAAAUUGUAUAUAUUAAAAAUAAAAACUGUGCCAUUGUAAACAUUA